GUGACGCCCGGAUAAUUAAGCUACAACAACCCUCUGCUAAUGAUGCCACGUCACUUCAAUUACUGUUGCUAAUCUCGAGGUAGUUCGAAACCGAUUCAAAUUGAAAUUCAAAAUCCAUCAAACAAUAAAGGUUUUCAAUUAUUAAAACUAAAAGGUUUGGAGUGAACCAAAUAUUGCAUAGGGAAUUAUGGUAGGGGAACCAUACCUUUAUAAAAUGCUUAAAUACUCUCCGAUGAAUAAAACAACAACAUAACCAAUUUAAUAAAUGCCUUUUAUUAUUUAUAAAAUGUUAAGCUAUUUUGUUUCGGGUUUGAAAUUUUUGUAGCUGAGGUAUAGUUAGUGAUACUAAAUUAGGUUUGACUUUUGUGUUUUUAUAAAACUAAAAUUAGAUGAAACUAGAAAAUAGAACAGAAAAGAAAAAUAAGUAAAAAGUAAAAAGAAAGAAAAAAAAGAAAGGAGAAAACCCUCCCCUCCCCGCCGCUCGAAGCAACCCCUCCCUCCGUCUACCUUGCCGGACCGCCCCACUUCGCCCCCGAUGCCUGCACCCAAUCCCACGCCGCCCCGCACCCCGCGCCCCCGACGCCGGCGCCCGUCCCCGGCGUUGUCCCGCCCCGACACCACCUCGCCGCCACCUCGUCGUACCGUCCUCGCCCGGAGCCGUCGUCGACCACCACCUCGCCGCCGGUCCUCCUCCUCCUCCUCGACCAGCCUCCUCAUGCCUCGUCGCCCCCUCUUCCCGUCAACGACGGUGAGGCGCGGCCCCAUUCGCCUCUGCCCCCUCUCUGCCCUCGCACAGGCGACCACUGCGCGCUGCGCACCCCCACCCCCGCGUCCUGGUCACACCCAGGACCACCACGGCCGCGUCGUCGCCUGUCUACGCCUCACUGUUGUCGAACCCGCAUCGCCCCGCCACCCGACGUUGUCGCCAGCGCCCAUUCCGGCCUCUUCCAGCCACCAUGGACCGCACCACCGGACGCGGCCUCACAUGCAUGUUCAAUGGAGCCAAAGAACGCCCGAUUUGGUGCAUCGUACGAGAAACCCGGGCUCGCCGGAGUUGUCGUCGUCGUUCGGACUCGCCGAAGAGCUCCAGUGGUCGGCGUCCUACAUGGCUACCACCUGGCGCUGCGGGCCCCGCCUUUGUGCCACAGCCACUGGGACCCAAUGGGCCCAGUUGACCCGGUCAACCACUGACGUGGCAUGCCCGUGUCGCUAACAUGCGGGGCCUGCUGUUUAAAAUGUUACAAAAAUAAAUAAAAUUGUUAAUUAGAAAGUUAAUUGAACUAUUAGUUAAAAUUAUUAAUUAGUUAGACACUGACAGUUGGUCCCACUAGAUAAUUAGAUUAUUUAGUUAACCUAAUCUUAUGUUAAUUAGUCCAGCCUAUGAGAGGUGGGUCCCACCUGCCAGGGUUGACCGGUCAACAGGUCAGUUGACUUGAUGAUGUCAUGGUGAUGUCAUUAUGACGUCAUCAGUCACUAUUCUGGAUAAUGUUGAAUUAAAAUAUUUAAAUAAAUGCUAAAAAUGAUUUAAUCUUUUAAAAUCUAUUUAAAAUAAACCGUAGCUCGGAUGGAAAAACUUUGUACAUGAAAGUUGCUUAGAACGACGAGACGAAUCCGGAUACGCAAUCCAUUCAACCGUCACAUGUACCUAGCAUAGCGAACACGCAACUUUCCCUCUCCGGUUCAUCUGCCCGAAAACGCGAAAUAAUGGGAAUACUUUCCCGGAUGUUUCCCCCCUUCGCCGGUAUCACCUAUCCUUAUGUUAGGUCACCCCUAGCACAACAUAUUGCCGCGUCUUGCUUUGUGUUACAUUUGAUUGCUCUGUUAUUUAUUGUGUUCCCCCUUCGUUACUCCUUUUCGGUAGACUCCGAGACCGCUGUCGAUGUCCGUGUGUUCGACUACAUCGAAGAUGACCCCUCCUUCUUGCCAGAGCAACCAGGCAAGCCCGCCCCCUUUGAUCACCAGAUAUCGCCUAUUCUUCUCUCUACUGCUUGCAUUAGAGUAGUGUAGCAUGUUACUGCUUUCCGUUAUCCUAUCCUGAUGCAUAGCCUGUCCUUGCUACUACUGUUGUUACCUUUACCUGCAAUGCUAAAUGCUUAGUAUAGGAUGCUAGUGUUCCAUCAGUGGCCCUACACUCUUAUCCGUCUGCCAUGCUAUACUACUGGGCCGUGAUCACUUCGGGAGGUGAUCACGAGCAUAUACUAUAUACUUUACACUAUUACAUUACUGGUGAUACUAUUUGGAGAUGGGGGCUGAAGGGGCAGGUGGCUCCAUCCAGGUAGUGGUGGGCCUGAGUUCCCGACGGCCCCCGACUGUUACUUUGAGGCGAAGCGACAGGGCAGGUUGAGACCACCUAGGAGAGAGGUGGGCCUGGCCCUGGUCGGCGUUCGCGAAUACUUAACACGCUUAACGAGAUCUUGGUAUUUGAUUUGAGUCUGGUUACUGCCCUAUACGCACUAACCAUCUACGCGGGACAGUUAUGGGCACUCGACGUCGUGUUAUCAGCCGAAGCCUUCGUGACAUCAGCGACUGAGCGGCACGCGCCGGGUUGGACCGCGUAACGCAACUUCCUUUGUAAUGGAGGUUGCUAGGUUUGCUCACCGGCCGCGUACGCAACAUGCAGGUGUGCAAUGGGCGAUGGGCCCAGACCCCUGCGCCAUAGGAUUUAGACCGGCGUGCUGACCUCUCUGUUGUGCCUAGGUAGGGCUCCGACGUGUUGAUCUUCUGAGGCCGGGCAUGACCCAGAAAAGUGUGUCCGGCCAAAUGGGAUCGAGCGUGUUGGGUUAUGUGGUGCACCCCUGCAGGGAAGUUAAUCUAUUCGAAUAGCCAUGAUCUUCGGUAACAGGACGACUUGGAGUUGUACCUUGACCUUAUGACAACUAGAACCGGAUACUUAAUAAAACACACCCUUCCAAGUGCCAGAUACAACCGGUGAUCGCUCUCUAGCAGGGUGGCGAGGAGAGGAUCGCCGGGUAGGAUUAUGCUAUGCGAUGCUACUUGGAGGACUUCAGUCUACUCUCUUCUACAUGCUGCAAGACGGAGGCUGCCAGAAGCGUAGUCUUCGACAUGACUAGCUAUCCCCCUCUUAUUCUGGCAUUCUGUAGUUCAGUCCACAUAUGAUACCCUUAUUCCAUUUGAUACCAAUGCAUACAUAUGUAGUGUAGCUCCUUGCUUGCGAGUACUUUGGAUGAGUACUCACGGUUGCUUUUCUCCCCCUUUUCCCCUUUCCCCUUUCCUAUAUCCGAUUGCUGCAACCGGUUGGAGUCCAGGAGCCAGACGCCACCGUUGAUGACGACUACUACUACUCGGGAGGUGCCUACUACUACAUGCAGCCCGCUGACGACGACCAGGAGUAGUUUAGGAGGAUCCUAGGCAGGAGGCCUGUGCCUCUUUCGAUCCAUAUCCCUGUUUAUGCUAGCCCUGUUAAGGCAUACUUGUUUAUCUUAUAUCUGUACUCAGAUAUUGUUGCUUCCGCUGACUCGUCUAUGAUCGAGCUCUUGUAUUCGAGCCCUCGAGGCCCCUGGCUUGUAAUAUGAUGCUUGUAUGACUUAUUUUAUUUGUAGAGUUGUGUUGUGAUAUCUUCCCGUGAGUCCCUGAUCUUGAUCGUACAUGUUUGUGUGUAUGAUUAGUGUACGAUUGAAUCGGGGGCGUCACAAGUUGGUAUCAGAGCCGACUGCCUGUAGGAAUCCCCUUCCACACUCCUUGGCCGAAGUUGAGUCUAGUCGAUGAAAAUUGUUUUACUAACUUGGCUGUGCGGCCCCUAGGCCCACGUCACCAUCGGGUGGUAUUAGGAUCUUUUAUUCCUCGACCUAUACUCUGGGACUCUGAUCUCUCUUCUAUUCAGGUUAAAUGAUUUUACUAAAUCUGACUCUAGGUUCUCGUAAGUACUUCCUCCUGGAGAGCCCCUUAUUACAAUGUUCACCUGCUGCACCAGAAGGUUGCGAAGAUGCUAUUCGUUGUUUCCCCGAGACGCUUGUGCCGACCGCUUUUGCAAAUCCCUACCACUAUUAUCUGUAUGGAUAACUGAACACACUUGCCUACACUCAAUCCCAUUGAUCUUGUUAUUACAAGAUGCCCUGAACUGCUCUCCGUUGUUCUGAGAAUCCUUUGAGCCUACUGCCUUGCAGUUCCUUGCCACCUAAAUUCCAAUGUGGAUAAUUCCUCGCUCUUACCGAGUAUUCGCUCAUCCCAUUUGAUUCAAGUAUUUCAUAGAAGUCUUCAAAAAACCAUUCGAUCUUUCGAAAAUCCUCAUCCGACUAUUACUGUUGAAGUUCUUGCUUGCUUGCAUUAUGAUUAUUCUCAUAGGUCUGGUAGUAUUAUUGGCAUCCUUAGUCAUUAUCAGUUUGAGUCUGUUGAAUCAAUAUGUUGUGAAUGCUUGCAUUCCUUAAUCAGAUCCUUCGUUUUGUCCUUCUGGCUCAGAUGACAUUUUAAACAUGAGCUGGAUCUCGACCAAUCAAAUUGCCAUCGAUUGUACCCCUAAGACUAUUCAACUUAUCCGUCCUUAAUCAGAGCGUUUGCUUCUCAUGCAUUGGUUUGGAAAUCAUAAUUCCUUUACAUUUGAGCUUCCAGUUAGUCAGUUGUUUCUAUAGUCUGAUCUCCUUGCAUUCUUCCUUUCUCUGGUUGAGUACCGAUGCUCACAUUAGAUCCCUUAUGGACCACCAGAACCUUUGUUGGAUUUUACCCGACAAUGGCCUGUAUAUUCAAUCACUUCAAAAGUUCUUUCCCCGAUACAUAAUGCCAUUGGUAAAUCCUAUUCCUUGAUUUGGACAACCAUGCUCCGCUUUCGAGCUGGUGAUAUUUACUAUUGAAGCUUGUGGUAUAUGUUUCCACAAUGCCCUGAUGGGUUGAACCUAUGCCUUCCUUAAUAUGUUGAACUCGAAAGUUUUCACAAGUUAUACUCUUCUGGUAUUUUGCUAGAUAAAAUUUCAACACUACAACUUCAUCGAACGCGAGAAGUGAAUGGAAGGUUAUACAUUGAAGAACUGGGAGUCGACCUUGAACUUGUGUUCAUGCCCAUGGACACGAUGUAGAUCCUAUCAUGGAAGCUUCUUGUAAAUAACUGUUUCCUUGAUAUAAUAUUAUCUGGUAUCUGUGAAUUGAUUCUUUGCAACCGUGGUUUCGACCAUAUUGUCUUUCUUUGAUCCCAUUUCUUGGACGAGUAAAAUACUUGGCUUCUCAGAUCAGUACGCCUGCCCAACCUCUAUUUUGAUCUACCUUCGAGUAUUACCCCCUGGUAUCUUGAGGAUUUCACCCCAUUGCACUACAUGUUAUGAAUUUCUGAUGAAGUAGUAGCUUUCCCCGUAAUAGUCCGUCCACGGGUUCUGGGUUGUCGUCAACCGAGAACACGGAUUAGUGAAUCGAAUCAACACUAUGCUUCAAUACUCCUAGUAAUUUGUUGUUGAGACGUUUAAUACUCCAUCACGUCACUCCUAGCCUGAUCGGCUAUAUCAGUAUCAUGAUGAUUUUAACUGUGCUACCUGGUCCUUAUUCCUGGAGCACCACUUUCAGCGAUGAGAUAAGCUUACGUCGAUCUUCCUUGUCUUAUCGUUUCACCUCGAACAGCAAGCUUGAUUCCGAGUUGGUGUCCUAUCCGUGGUUCCAAUAAUCUUUUGCUGCAUUAGUCCUGUUGCUUGAUGUAGCCGUUGUUCAAUUGCUUCUUCGUGGAGUCUUUCAACAAAAUUUGUCAGGAUCAUCAUCAGCAUUCUGAGCUCUUCCAGGAUAUCAAUUGAAUUCAUGAUGAGAAAUACCAUCCUUGCCCUCGAUGAUUUGUGCUGUCAUUGACCACUUUAUUGCCUUCCCUCCAACACAAACUUGUUCUUGAUUUGUGUUAUACCUUGAUCUCCUUGUUGUCCAACUUAUGUUAUGUUCUACCUUGGAGUAUUACCAUCCUUUAUGUCAAGAAUGUCGUUAGAAUUUCACCACCUCUUAAGAAUUCUUGAUACAGGUGAUACUUCUGGCCAUAUCCCUUCAUUCCUUGGUCCCCGUUUUGUUUCUAACCGGAAAACCGACAAUUGAACUAUGAUGUGCCACUUCAAAAGUUCUAGCAACCCUAUUGCUUUGAAGUUAAUGGUCGAUAUUUCAUUCUUAGACCACUGGUUAUUGAAUCACCAUUCUAACAUUGAUCGUACUACCUAAGCCCAUAUUUGGGGUGCACUUUUCAACCAAUGUUUAAUUGUGUAUGUUUUCCUCAAGCAUACCUCAUUAUAUCAUUUGAUCCAAAAAUUGUUAUCUCCUUGUUCACAUAACUAUGGAAAUCCAUCUUUUGUUAAUCUUGAUAAAUUGUCGUUGAGUCCAUCAGCCACAUCCUCAUCGUCUCCUUGGUUUAAUGAUGAACUAUUGUUUCGGAACUCGCUUCCAUAGUUCAUUUGCCCGAGAAUCUUAUAAUGUCAUCUCGUCAAUUGCGUUGCACCUUUUCUUUCUCAGGCAUCCUGAGUCUGAGGCAUCCUGACACCAAUCAGAUUUGAAUCUCGGUCAGAUAUGUUGGUUGGAACGUUUUUCAAGAGUUAUAACCUUAGACUUUAUAUGACCCGGUAAGGUGUUGUCAUGCCUAGAACGCCUGUCCGAAGGCCCUAUUGUUAUGGAUUCCUUUUCAGCAAGGUUAUCCAUUCUUCCAUGAGGAAAUUGUAAACCUUAUUCUACAAGUUAUUCCUGAUGGAUCAUUUGUGUUUCCAAAGUCCGACCUUGCUUGAAGACCAUGUCAAUGCUAUUACGGAGCAUGUCUGUGGUACUCCGAUUUUCAAUAAGAGCAUUGAAAGCGCAAUGCUAAGUUUUCUAUAUCCAUUAUCCAAACACCAUUGUAUGGGUAAUGCCAUGAAAAUUCCUCUCCCAUUACCUAAAUGGUUUCCUACAUUAUAUUCUGCCAUGGAUACCAUAUUCGGCUUGUCCUUGGGAAGGAUAUACCCCUGAAAUGUGUGUUUAAACACAUUUUCCUUUCCAUUGUUCUGUUUAAUCUGAUGGUCACAUUUUCCUUUUCAUUGUUCUGUUUAAUCUUUCUUGUGGUCUAUAUGAAAUAAGCAGUAAUAUUCUCCUACUUUUGUAAACACCUCGUUGUACAAUUCGUUUAGAAAGACCAUGUUACUAUUGUUGAUGACAUUCUAGUAACCACCGAUGGACGAGAACUUUGCCUACUGGUCCACUCGUUCAACGAGCAGAAAAAUGGUUCUCUUCGUCCCUCGCCCUUGUUACCGAUGUUGUUGCCGACAUGACCGACAGACUAUCCUCUGACAUGCCUUGCUUACAUGAUCGUGCAAGAUGUCACCGAUCUUCCUAUUUUUAACCACAUGGUGAGCCCAUAACCCACAGUUCCUCAAGAUCGAGACCUGACCCUCCUGUACACACCAGUUCCUAAAGGUUAUUCCUCAUGCUUGGCUUCGUAGGUAAUUCGUGAGCCACCUUCCUACUGCUCUAUUCUGGUAUCAGACGCAAUGCUUACUCUCGCCGCUCUGAACCCCUUUCUCACUCUGGUUCAGACUUUGAGCAGCUAUCUAUCCGCUUGGACCCUCUCAUUGUACCUUCGUAUUGUACUCUCGAUGUAUUUUAUAUGUUCAACUCGAGAGAUAAUCUUAUGCUCAUUCAUGGGUUAACCCCAGAUUGUUUCCCUCGUAAGCAUGCUGUCGUAGCCGAGCUGCCCCUUACCUAUUCGUAAGUACGUUGGAGUUCCCAAAGAAAAGGAUGAUGACUUCCUCAUGAUGACCUGAAGCAGAGGAAUGAAGACAUCGAUGUAAUGGAUCAACCUCUUCGAGAAGAGCAACCAAGACCGAGAAGACUCGAUACAAUUUCGUAGCCACAUCUUUCCCUUACUCCCCUCUUAAAUCUCGGGACGAGAUUUCUUGUAGUGGAGGAGAAUUGUGACGCCCGGAUAAUUAAGCUACAUCAACCCUCUGCUAAUGAUGCCACAUCACUUCAAUUACUGUUGCUAAUCUUGAGGUAGUUCGAAACCGAUUCAAAUUGAAAUUCAAAAUCCAUCAAACAAUAAAGGUUUUCAAUUAUUAAAACUAAAGGGUUUGGAGUGAACCAAGUAUUGCAUAGGUAAUUAUGGUAGGGGAACCAUACCUUUAUAAAAUGCUUAAAUACUCUCCGAUGAAUAAAACAACAACAUAACCAAUUUAAUAAAUGCCUUUUAUUAUUUAUAAAAUGUUAGGCUAUUUUGUUUCGGGUUUGAAAUUUUGUAGCUGAGGUAUAGUUAGUGAUACUAAAUUAGGUUCGACUUUUGUGUUUUUAUAAAACUAAAAUUAGAUGAAACUAGAAAAUAGAACAGAAAAGAAAAAUAAGUAAAAAGUAAAAAAAAGAAA
rnacentral:lncRNA from 1 species